CCUACGGGGGGCAGCAGUUAGGAAUAUUGGGCAAUGGAGGAAACUCUGACCCAGCAACGCCGCGUGAAGGAAGAAGGUUUUCGGAUUGUAAACUUCUGAUCUGUGGGAAGAAGAAAAUGACGGUACCUGAGUAAGAAGCCCCGGCUAACUACGUGCCAGCAGCCGCGGUAAUACGUAGGGGGCAAGCGUUAUCCGGAUUUACUGGGUGUAAAGGGAGCGUAGACGGCAGUGCAAGUCUGGAGUGAAAGGCGGGGGCUCAACCCCCGGACUGCUCUGGAAACUGUACGGCUGGAGUGCAGGAGAGGUAAGUGGAAUUCCUAGUGUAGCGGUGAAAUGCGUAGAUAUUAGGAGGAACACCAGUGGCGAAGGCGGCUUACUGGACUGUAACUGACGUUGAGGCUCGAAAGCGUGGGGAGCAAACAGGAUUAGAUACCCUUGUAGUC
rnacentral:rRNA from 1 species